AUUGAACGCUGGCGGCAUGCCUUACACAUGCAAGUCGAACGGCAGCACGGGAGCAAUCCUGGUGGCGAGUGGCGAACGGGUGAGUAAUAUAUCGGAACAUGCCCAGUCGUGGGGGAUAACGUAGCGAAAGCUACGCUAAUACCGCAUACGAUCUAUGGAUGAGAGCGGGGGAUCGCAAGACCUCGCGCGAUUGGAGCGGCCGAUAUCAGAUUAGGUAGUUGGUGAGGUAAAGGCUCACCAAGCCGACGAUCGGUAGCUGGUCUGAGAGGACGACCAGUCACACUGGGACUGAGACACGGCCCAGACUCCUACGGGAGGCAGCAGUGGGGAAUUUUGGACAAUGGGCGCAAGCCUGAUCCAGCAAUGCCGCGUGCAGGAUGAAGGCCUUCGGGUUGUAAACUGCUUUUGUACGGAACGAAACGGUGAGCUCUAAUACAGUUUGCUAAUGACGGUACCGUAAGAAUAAGCACCGGCUAACUACGUGCCAGCCGCCGCGGUAA
rnacentral:rRNA from 1 species